rnacentral:lncRNA from 1 species
AGCCCCUGCUGCCAUGGUUCAGCUGCUCAAUUUGAAUCGUGUCCGACACCAUUCCUGAGAAGCCAGGCGAGAGCCUGCGGGAGAGAAGUGACCAAGCAGCUCAGCCUUUUUCAGCUCUGCUGGAGAACGGAAGCCAGCAACAGCACGACUCCUCUCCUGCCAUUCAGAAUUGAGUCCCUGUAUACAGCAUUUAGUGGGUGAAAAUUCUCCCCUACAGCACUGUAUGAAGACUCUAGAACCCCCUGAUUGCUCUGCUCACACUCAGGAGAAGGAUUCUCAAAGAAAUAUCCAUGAAAUCCCAAGGCAUUUGGUUCCAUCCCUCCCCCUCCCUGGUCCCCUUGCAUCAGCAUCUACACUCCCUUGUCAGAUUUCACAAAGGGCUGCACACCAGGAGAGGGAAAGGUAAUGAUGUGUGUUUGUCUU